UGAGGUUGUUCAGUAGUAGAGCACUUGCCUACUAUGCAGGACUGCCUGGGUUCAAUCCCCAGUACCUCAG
rnacentral:tRNA from 1 species